rnacentral:rRNA from 1 species
AUGCUAGUCGAACGGUAGCGGCGCCUUCUCGUCGCCGACGAGUGGCGAACCGCGGGGUAAUGCGUCGUAACGUGCCCAAUAGUGGGGGAUAUCCCGGCGAAAGCCGGAUUAAUACCGCAUGAACCCUGUUGCUGAAAGCGGGGGAUCCCCGACCUCGCGCUACUGGAGCGGGCGAUGUCAGAUUACCUAGGUGGUGGGGUAAAGGCCUACCGAGGCAACGAUCUGUCACUGGGCUGAAAAGACGACCCCCACCCCUGGGACUGAGACACGGGCGGGACUCCUACGGCAGGGGGCAAUGGGGAGUUUUGGACAUUGCGCGCGAGCCUGAUCCGCCAUUGCCGUGUGCAGUACUAAUGCCUUCGGUUGUAAACUGCUUUUGUCAGGGAAGACAUCCUCUGGGUUAUACCUCGGGGGAUGACGUACCUGAGAAUAGCACCGGCUAUUUCGUGCCAGCAGCCCCCGUAAGACGUAGGUGCGAGCGUUAAUCGAAAUUGGGGCUUAACGCGUGCGCAGGCGUUUGCAAGACAGAUGGGAUAUGCCAGGCUCGCCUGGCAACUGGAUUGUGACUGCAAGGCUAGAUUAGGCAAAGGCGGAUGGAAUUCCGAGUGCACCAGUGAAAUGCUUAGAUUACGGACGAACGCCGAUGGCGAAGCAAUCCCCUGGGCCUGUACUGACGCUCAUGCACGAAAGCGUGGGGAGCAAACAGGAUUAGAUACCUUGGUAGUCCACGCCCUAAAAGAUGUCAAUUGGCGGUGGACGGCUUGUUGUUCAGUACAAACUAACGCGUGAUGUUGACCGCCUGGGAGUACGGCGCACAGGUUGAAACUCAAAGGAAUUGACGGAGACACGCACAAGCGGUGGAGGAUGUUGUUUAAUACAGCAACACGAAAUACCUUACCUACCCAUGCAUGUCAAGAUCGUGCGAGAUGUGAGAGUGCUCGAAGAGAACUUGAACACAGGUGCUGCAUGUCCGUCAGUCAGCUCGUGUCGUGAGAGGUUGAGUUUAGUCCCGCAACGAGCCCUUCCCUUGUCAUUAGCUGCUUUGAAAGGGCACUUUAAUGAGACUGCCGGUGACAAACCGGGAGAAGGUGGGGGAGGAGUCCAGUUCUCCUGGCCCUUUUGGGUAGGGGUUCCCCAGUCAUACAAUGGCCGGUGCCAAGGGUCAGCAAUCCGGGAGGGGGAGCCAAUCCCAGAAAACCGGUCGUAGUUCGGAUCGCAGUCUGCAACUCGACUGCGUGAAGUCGGAAUCGCUAGUAAUCGCGGAUCAGCAUGCCGCGGUGAAUACGUUCCCGGGUCUUGUACACACCGCCCGUCACACCAUGGGAGUGGGUUCACCAGAAGUAGUUAGCCUAACCGCAAGGAGGCAGCUACC